rnacentral:rRNA from 1 species
GAUUAGAUACCGUCGUAGUCUUAACUAUAAACUAUGCCGACCAGGGAUAUGAGUUGUUAUGAAUGACUUUUAGUUAUUCAAUUUCCUCUUGUGGACCUUGUGAGAAAUCAUAAGUUUUUGGGUUCUGGGGGGAGUAUGGUCGCAAGGCUGAAACUUAAAGGAAUUGACGGAGGGGCACCACCAGGAGUGGAGCGUGCGGCUUAAUUUGACUCAACACGGGAAAACUUACCAGGUCCAGACAUUAGAAGGAUUGACAGAUUGAUAGCUCUUUCAUGAUUUAAUGGGUGGUGGUGCAUGGCCGUUCUUAGUUGGUGGAGUGAUUUGUCUGGUUAAUUCCGAUAACGAACGAGACCUUUACCAUACUAAAUAGUUUGAUUUAUUCAUUUAUGAAUAGAUUUACAUUUUAUUAAACUUCUUAGAGGGACUAUUGGUUCUUAAACCAAAGGAAGUAAAGGCGAUAACAGGUCUGUGAUGCCCUUAGAUGUUCUGGGCUGCACGCGCGCUACAAUGAUAAACUCAACGAGUAUUUAAUAUUUAUUUAUUAUAUUGCUGUAUCGGAAGGUAUGGCUAAUCUUAAACGUUUAUCGUGCUUGGGAUAGAUGAUUGCAAUUAUUUAUCUUGAACCAGGAAUUCCUAGUAAUCGUAUAUCAUCAGUGUGCGAUGAUUACGUCCCUGCCCCUUGUACACACCGCCCGUCGCUGCUACCGAUUGGAUGAUCCGGUGAAAUCCUCGGAUAAUGAUAAAUACUUUACUUUGUAAAGUUUAUCGUUAGAAGUUGAUUAAACCUUAUCAUCUAGAGGAAGCAAAAGUCGUAACAAGGUUUCCGUAGGUGAACCUGCAGAAGGAUCA